rnacentral:tRNA from 1 species
GCCGCGGUCGCCUAAUCAGGAAUGGCGAGCGAUUCAGACUCGCUGCCCGAAAGGGUCUCCGGGUUCGAAUCCCGGCCGCGGCG